rnacentral:tRNA from 3 species
GCCCAUAUAGCUCAGGUGGUAGAGCACUCCCUUGGUAAGGGAGAGGUCACUGGUUCGAGUCCAGUUAUGGGCACCA